GGAAGAUGAAAAACUGGCAAGAGAGGUAAAGAGACCAGAGAAGAAUGAGAAGCACCAAUGAACAGAUGUUCCAGUGAGAUGGUCAUGCAGAAUCUUGCAACAGCUUUCAACUACUGGAGACAAGGAGUAUGCUUAUUAACAGGGCACCGAGGCUUCCUCCCCCACUGCACAGAUGUGCCUGAAGUACUGAAGCAAAUGCAUGACCAGACUGAAGGAUGGCUGACUUUCUGUAUCAGUUGCUAUACUCUGAUGUCUUCUAGAAGAGAGGAGAGUGAGACAGGAGGCUGCUGGAGUAUCUCCAACAGUGAAUUCCCAGUUUGGAAUGUACCUCUCCUUCACAUAAUCCUGGCAUUCUCAACAUGGGGAAGGAAGCUGACUCCAUCCAUCCCAGGCACCAGAGAACACCAUGGCCUCGCUGUGGGGAUCAAGCAAGUCUGGAUGUCAGGGGAUGCACCCCCUCCCUUGCCGGGGAACACCAGCGCAUAUUGGACCCAUCCUAGCCCAUCCAGGAUCCAUUGGUUCAUCUCCUGCUGCAGCAUUCAUAGUUCUAGAGCCUGUACCUUGGAUGCAAAGUUAAUGUGCCCAGAAGAGCAGUAUUGCAAACAAGCCGCAUCCCUGCCAGUGCCCAAACAGCCCCUGAGCUCAGAAGAGAAGCUGUCUUGGAUAAGGUUGCAGUCUCAGCCAACACCUUGACUGUGGCCGUAUGAGACCCUGAGAAGGAGACCCACUUCGGCUGUGCCUGGACUCCUGACCCACUUGAUAAUUCUGUGCAUUAUUCAGUGCUCAUCACAAGAAGUGUAUGCUGUGUUAAGUGUGAAGUGUGUAUCUGAACUCACGGAGUGUUGAAGGGAGUGUCCAGAGGAACCAAGCAACUCCUGGGACCUUUCUCCCAGCUUUGAUUAAUGCCAUGGAAGCUGUCUCCAUUCCAACCAGCCAGAGGAGGAAACAGAGCACGGAGGACUGCUCCCUGAAGUUUAUGGGUCAAGCUUGAAAUCAGUGUAUGUCACUUCUGCCCACAUUCCAGGGGCUAGCACUCAACCACAGGGCCACACGUUACUGUAAUGGAAGCUAGGACAUGGAAUCCAGCCAUGUGCCCAGAAAGAAGAGAUCAUGAAUUUUGGUGAUCAUCUCUGGCACGUGUGAUGUCCUACACUUACGAGUAGGCUGCAACCAGACCCCAUCUCAUCUUCUUAAAGCAAAAUAUCUUUGCCCGCAUAAAAAAAAAAUAGGUGCACACACUCUCCUCCACUUGUAUGAGCAAAAACAUGUCAAGAGAACAUGUGUAUAAUGAAGAAUGAGGUUAUUUUUCAUAUCGAUUUAUGGUGCUGUCUUUUAGCCCGCCUUCAAAAUUAAAUCUUGCUGCCAUCAUCAAGAUCUCCUUCUAGCUCGUCUCAACAUCCUUACGUCUGAUCUCUCAUUCGUG